rnacentral:sRNA from 1 species
AUAUCUCUCUGUACGGGAAGGAUGAGAAGCUUCGACCAAGGUUCGAUUCGAGCGCAGCGAGAAAGCGUUGCCGCAGGCAACGACC